rnacentral:rRNA from 1 species
AGAGUUUGAUCAUGGCUCAGGAUGAACGCUGGCGGCGUGCCUAAUACAUGCAAGUCGAACGAACUUCCGUUAAUUGAUUAUGACGUACUUGUACUGAUUGAGAUUUUAACACGAAGUGAGUGGCGAACGGGUGAGUAACACGUGGGUAACCUGCCCAGAAGUAGGGGAUAACACCUGGAAACAGAUGCUAAUACCGUAUAACAGAGAAAACCGCAUGGUUUUCUUUUAAAAGAUGGCUCUGCUAUCACUUCUGGAUGGACCCGCGGCGUAUUAGCUAGUUGGUGAGGUAAAGGCUCACCAAGGCAGUGAUACGUAGCCGACCUGAGAGGGUAAUCGGCCACAUUGGGACUGAGACACGGCCCAGACUCCUACGGGAGGCAGCAGUAGGGAAUCUUCCACAAUGGACGCAAGUCUGAUGGAGCAACGCCGCGUGAGUGAAGAAGGGUUUCGGCUCGUAAAGCUCUGUUGUUAAAGAAGAACGUGGGUAAGAGUAACUGUUUACCCAGUGACGGUAUUUAACCAGAAAGCCACGGCUAACUACGUGCCAGCAGCCGCGGUAAUACGUAGGUGGCAAGCGUUAUCCGGAUUUAUUGGGCGUAAAGCGAGCGCAGGCGGUCUUUUAAGUCUAAUGUGAAAGCCUUCGGCUCAACCGAAGAAGUGCAUUGGAAACUGGGAGACUUGAGUGCAGAAGAGGACAGUGGAACUCCAUGUGUAGCGGUGAAAUGCGUAGAUAUAUGGAAGAACACCAGUGGCGAAGGCGGCUGUCUGGUCUGCAACUGACGCUGAG